UACGGACGGGGCUAGCGUUGUUCGGAAUCACUGGGCGUAAAGCGCGCGUAGGCGGCCGGUCAAGUGCGGCGUGAAAGUCCUGGGCUCAACCCGGGGACGGCGCUGCGGACUGUCCGGCUGGAGUCCGGAAGAGGGUGGUGGAAUUCCGAGUGUAGAGGUGAAAUUCGUAGAUAUUCGGAGGAACACCGGCGGCGAAGGCGGCCACCUGGUCCGGUACUGACGCUGAGUGAGCGAAAGCCAGGGGAGCAAACGGG
rnacentral:rRNA from 1 species